GCUGUUGAGACAAAUGAAAAAACCUUGGAUCAGCAUAAGGCAUAUAUUGCUGAACAACAAAGAGAGGUUGAGCGAGUUCGUCAAAGAGAACAACUUCUAGUCAAGGCUGAGACCAUGAAAAAGAAAGUGCCAUGGAUAAAGUAUGACAUGAUGAAGGCGACAUAUUUGGAAGCCAAUGAAAAGGAGAAAGAUGCAAAGAAAAAACUGGAUUAUUAGUUAAUCAGGUUAUUCUGAAUGUCAGGAAGAGUUGUUUCAGGUG